rnacentral:rRNA from 1 species
AGUAAUGCUUGGGAAUCUAGCUUAUGGAGGCCUAUAACUACGGGAAACUGUAGCUAAUACCGCGUAAUAUCGAAAGAUUAAAGUGUGGGACCUUCGGGCCACAUGCCAUAGGAUGAGCCCAAGUGGGAUUAGGUAGUUGGUGAGGUAAAGGCUCACAAAGCCGACGAUCUCUAGCUGGUCUGAGAGGAUGACCAGCCACACUGGGACUGAGACACGGCCCAGACUCCUACGGGAGGCAGCAGUGGGGAAUAUUGCGCAAUGGGGGCAACCCUGACGCAGCCAUGCCGCGUGAAUGAAGAAGGCCUUCGGGUUGUAAAGUUCUUUCGGUAGCGAGGAAGGCAUUUAGUUUAAUAGACUAGGUGAUUGACGUUAACUACAGAAGAAGCACCGGCUAACUCCGUGCCAGCAGCCGCGGUAAUACGGAGGGUGCGAGCGUUAAUCGGAAUAACUGGGCGUAAAGGGCACGCAGGCGGUGACUUAAGUGAGGUGUGAAAGCCCCGGGCUUAACCUGGGAAUUGCAUUUCAUACUGGGUCGCUAGAGUAUUUUAGGGAGGGGUAGAAUUCCACGUGUAGCGGUGAAAUGCGUAGAGAUGUGGAGGAAUACCGAAGGCGAAGGCAGCCCCUUGGGAAUGUACUGACGCUCAUGUGCGAAAGCGUGGGGAGCAAACA